AUUCUGCGCUAUCCUGUGAACUGCAUGCCCAUCUGUCUUGUAUGUGUUUCCAGGGGUGGCUUACGAUGGUCUUCGCCAUGUACUGGAUGGACGUGUACUUAUUAUGAAUACUCACACCCUGAGACCCAAGAGGAUCCGUCGUAAAACAAGGCCAUAUCUGAUUUGGAUUAAAAUCCCCAUGGAGAACCUGAUGUCACCCAGGAAAGUGCACGUCUACUUGCGUGCUCUUGAGAAACGGUUGAGAAAACAGUCCUUCCAGCUCAGUAAAUACCAUUUUGUUUCUGUCUGCUCACCACCCUUGCAUUUGCAAUAAACCUGACAAGAACUUCCAGAGCGAAAAUAAGAAUGUUCAUAUUUGAAGGAGAUGUUGGCAGACGGCCACAGACUUCAAGUACGCAAGCUCAUUCCGCUCUUGCUUUUCUGCCAGUAACUCCUUGGCCUCCGCACACUCUGCACAGGCAGGGCCUGAGGACGGAUCAUGAUCGUGUCUGAUGAUCACGGACCCGCCGAAGACUCUCAAUGGAGAGGCCAUGAGUCACAGCCAAGUGAACUUUCUCUGCUCCUGAACAAAUGGCUUCUCCUCGUCGUCCCACUCCAAACCUAGAGGUGGGACAACCCCAGCAUCCUGGGCGUGAACGCACCCAGCUUGAUUGUCACAUGGGGAAUAGAGACCUCGCGCCUGCCUGGCAUAGGCCAACCCAGUAAUGUGCAUUUAAAGCUGGCUUUACUAGUCCUUCUUCCACAAUGAGAGGUGACCCUUCACUUCACCGAGAAAGGAAGGAAGAAAGCAUAAUAUUUCAUCGCGUGAAGAGGCCAUGAUUUCUCCGUUCCGCUGAGGAUCGCUUGAGCUGUUUCCAGUUUGGGGCGCGAUGAACAAUGCCGCAGUGAGGAUUCUUGUCAGUGCUGGCGUAUCUCAUGAUGGAGUUUCGCUCUUGUCUCCCAGGCUGUGGGUGCAAUGGGAGAAACAGGAAAACUUUGAAGAAUCUUCCAGAUUUGCCUAAUGGAGAUGUGCAUGACCUGACAAGAUAGAUGUGCCAUUUGGACCCUUUCAAGAGCAGACAGAAGGGAAGGGAGGUAAUACAGAUCAAUUACAGAUGUGGGUUGCUUUAUUUUAUUUUUUUAUUUUGAGGUGGAGUCUUGCUCUGUUACCCAAGCUGGAGUGCAGUGGUACAAUCUCAGCUCACUGCAACCUCCGCCUCCUGGGUUCAAGUGAUUCUCCUGCCUCAGCCUCCCAAGUAGCUGGGAUUACAGGCGUGUGCCACCACGCCUGGCUAAUUUUGUAUUUUUAGCAGGGACGGGGUUUCACUAUGUUGGCCAGGCUGGUCUUGAACUCCUGACCUCAGGUGAUCCGCCCAACUUGGACUCCCGAAGUGCUGGGAUUACAGGCGUGAACCACUGUGCCCAGCCUGUGUGUUGCUUAUUGACACCUGAGAAAGUCGACAUAAGGCAAUUCCGUCAUUGUGUGAACAUCACAGGGUGCACUUACACAGACCUAGAUGGCACAGCCUACCACACACCUAGGCCACAUGGUGUAACCUAUUGCUCCUACGCUACCAACCUGUACAGCUUGUUACCCCACUGAAUACUGUAGGCAACUGCAACAAAAUGGUAAGUGAUUGUGUAUCUAAACACUUCUUUAUCAUUGUUAUUAUACCUUAAGUUCUAGGGUACAUGUGCACAAUGUGCAGGUUUGUUACGUAAGUACACAUGUGCCAUGUUGGCUUGCUGUACCCAUUAACUUGUCAUUUACAUUAGGUAUUUCUCCUAAUGCUAUCCCUCCCCCCUCCCCCCACCCCAUGACAGACCCCAGUGUGUGAUGUUAUCUGCCCUGUGUCCAAGUGUUCUCAUUGUUCAAUUCCCACCUAUGAGUGAGAACAUGCAGUGUUUGGUUUUCUGUCCUUGUGAUAGUUUGCUCAGAAUGAUGGUUUCCAGCUUCAUCCAUGUCCCUGCAAAGGACAUGACCUCCUCCUUUUUUAUGGCUGUAUAGUAUUCCAUGGUGCGUAUGCGCCACAUUUUCUUAAUCCAGUCUAUCAUUAAUGGAUAUUUGGGUUGGUUCCAAGUUUUUGCUAUUGUGAAUAGUGCCGCAAUAAACAUACGUGUGCAUGUGU